rnacentral:rRNA from 1 species
AUACGAAAGGCGCAAGCGUUGUUCGGAUUUACUGGGCGUAAAGAGAGUGUAGGUUGUUUAUUAAGUCGGAUGUGAAAUCCCGGGGCUCAACCUCGGAACUGCAUUCGAUACUGGUAGACUAGAGUUCGGGAGGGGUAAGCGGAAUUCCGUGUGUAGCAGUGAAAUGCGUAGAUAUACGGAGGAACACCUGAGGCGAAGGCGGCUUACUGGACCGAUACUGACACUGAGACUCGAAAGCGUGGGUAGCAAACAGGAUUAGAAACCCCAGUAGUCC